UGGGGAAUAUUGCACAAUGGGGGAAACCCUGAUGCAGCGACGCCGCGUGAGCGAAGAAGUAUUUCGGUAUGUAAAGCUCUAUCAGCAGGGAAGAAAAAUGACGGUACCUGACUAAGAAGCACCGGCUAAAUACGUGCCAGCAGCCGCGGUAAUACGUAUGGUGCAAGCGUUAUCCGGAUUUACUGGGUGUAAAGGGAGCGCAGGCGGUACGGCAAGUCUGAUGUGAAAGCCCGGGGCUCAACCCCGGUACUGCAUUGGAAACUGUCGGACUAGAGUGUCGGAGGGGUAAGUGGAAUUCCUAGUGUAGCGGUGAAAUGCGUAGAUAUUAGGAGGAACACCAGUGGCGAAGGCGGCUUACUGGACGAUUACUGACGCUGAGGCUCGAAAGCGUGGGGAGCAAACAGGAUUAGAUACCC
rnacentral:rRNA from 1 species